AAAAAAACCAGAUCAUUCCUCACGCACGACCCGCUUUUCUCCUUUCACAACAUAUAACUCGAUCAUCUGCUCAACCGCUAAAAAUUCUGAGGCCACUCCCAGAGCCCCGGCUUAAAUAUCAGCUUAAGCUAAUCUUUAUUUGAGCGCGGUUUAAGUCCAUUUUUUGGAACCGUCCCAGAGCCCUGAUCGGAUUAUUUUUGGAUUGGCUCAACUCAACUUUUGGCUUAAACCAGUCUCAACUUUUCAUGAGACUAAAUCCUGCCCGACCAUAGCUCCAAAAUCAUUUUCUCCUUGUUAAAACGACCUGCCCAUUCCAAAUUCAUUAUCAAUAACAAAAAGGAUCUCCACUAUCAAACCUUAUUCUGUCAACGUUGCAACGUGACCACCGUGAUCAAUCUCGCAUUCACUGCUAGACAAAUGCAGUACUCAAUUGGGGCCAGUGAAAAGCAUGCAGAAGAUAGUUCUUUAUAAGAAAUUAAUUGUUACAGUAGCUGAAGAAGCAGCCUUAUCAUGGGUGGACUGAGACCGUAUAUAAUAAAUUGUUCUUCAUUAACG